rnacentral:rRNA from 1 species
UUACCAAACUGUUGCCUCGGCGGGAUCUCUGCCCCGGGUGCGUCGCAGCCCCGGACCAAGGCGCCCGCCGGAGGACCAACCUAAAACUCUUUUUGUAUACCCCCUCGCGGGUUUUUUAUAAUCUGAGCCUUCUCGGCGCCUCUCGUAGGCGUUUCGAAAAUGAAUCAAAACUUUCAACAACGGAUCUCUUGGUUCUGGCAUCGAUGAAGAACGCAGCGAAAUGCGAUAAGUAAUGUGAAUUGCAGAAUUCAGUGAAUCAUCGAAUCUUUGAACGCACAUUGCGCCCGCCAGUAUUCUGGCGGGCAUGCCUGUCCGAGCGUCAUUUCAACCCUCGAACCCCUCCGGGGGGUCGGCGUUGGGGAUCGGCCCUCCCUUAGCGGGUGGCCGUCUCCGAAAUACAGUGGCGGUCUCGCCGCAGCCUCUCCUGCGCAGUAGUUUGCACACUCGCAUCGGGAGCGCGGCGCGUCCACAGCCGUUAAACACCCAACUUCUGAAAUGUUGACCUCGGAUCAGGUAGGAAUACCCGCUGAACUUAAGCAU